UCAAAAAAAUCAAGAAUAUAUGGUACCGAUUUCUGUUGAUCCUGAGAAGACAACAACAACAAUAGUUGAUGCCAUGCAAGCUAGAGAUGAUGGCCAACAAAACUCUCAAAAAAACAUGCAACCAUUUUCUAUUGAUCUUAAUCAAAUGAUGACAAUAAUGGACACAAUGCAAAGCGGAAACGGUGUUGAUGAUAUUCAUAUGGAGGAUCAUGAUCAACACUUUUUUGGUUAAUCACUAUAGUGUAUUAUUCUCCAAUGUAUUAA